rnacentral:rRNA from 1 species
GAUGAACGCUGGCGGCGUGCCUAAUACAUGCAAGUCGAGCGAACAGAUAAGGAGCUUGCUCCUUUGACGUUAGCGGCGGACGGGUGAGUAACACGUGGGUAACCUACCUAUAAGACUGGGAUAACUUCGGGAAACCGGAGCUAAUACCGGAUAACAUUUGGAACCGCAUGGUUCUAAAGUGAAAGAUGGUUUUGCUAUCACUUAUAGAUGGACCCGCGCCGUAUUAGCUAGUUGGUAAGGUAACGGCUUACCAAGGCGACGAUACGUAGCCGACCUGAGAGGGUGAUCGGCCACACUGGAACAGAGACACGGUCCAGACUCCUACGGGAGGCAGCAGUAGGGAAUCUUCCGCAAUGGGCGAAAGCCUGACGGAGCAACGCCGCGUGAGUGAUGAAGGGUUUCGGCUCGUAAAACUCUGUUAUUAGGGAAGAACAAAUGUGUAAGUAACUGUGCACGUCUUGACGGUACCUAAUCAGAAAGCCACGGCUAACUACGUG